rnacentral:rRNA from 1 species
UACGUAGGUGGCAAGCGUUAUCCGGAUUUAUUGGGCGUAAAGGGAACGCAGGCGGUCUUUUAAGUCUGAUGUGAAAGCCUUCGGCUUAACCGGAGUAGUGCAUUGGAAACUGGGAGACUUGAGUGCAGAAGUGGAGAGUGGAACUCCAUGUGUAGCGGUGAAUGCGUAGAUAUAUGGAAGAACACCAGUGGCGAAAGCGGCUCUCUGGUCUGUAACUGACGCUGAGGUUCGAAAGCGUGGGUAGCAAACAGG